UACUCUACCUCAGGUGAGCAAUACCUCGAGACUUCUUUAACUGGCUACUCAAUACUGCCCCUUGCAGCCAUAAGAAGUUAAAGUGUAUGUGCGAGUUUACUCUUUCAAAAAGGUAAUACACUUUGUAGCUAACAUUGGUUGCUCAGAACCUCAUCACACUCCAGUACAUUACACCUUCUUAGUUACAAUUCCAUAACCCAUAAUAAAAAAGAACAUUCAUACUGUAUAUGAAGCACAGGCAGUCUUACCCUAGGUUGACCCUCUCUGUGUCCUUAGGCAGAUUGUGUGGGGUGGAGGUGAGGUGGCUGAAGGUGCAGUGCACCUCCCUGACCCCAGGCCAGCUGCAGCCCCUGAGUCAUGGGGCACACAGGGCCAAGGGGGAGAUGACCAGAAGCAGCAGCAGCACUGCCCUCAGCCAGGAAGCCAGGACAGUGACACUCAACAGCUAUUGCAGUCCUCUCAUGCCAUCAUCAGACCAGGGACAACAUUAAGCCACAGGAGGGAAGGAAAUCCUGACGGACCAGGGCACCGCGUUCAUGUCUCGUGUGAUGAAAGAUGUCUGCAAUCUGUUACGAAUCAAACAGGUGAUGACCAGUGUGUACCAUCUACAAACGGACGGGCUGGUGGAAUGCUUCAAUAAGACCCUAAAACAGAUGCUGAGGAAGGUCAUCGAGAGAGACAGGAGGAACUGGGACCAGCUGCUGCCCCACCUGAUGUUUUCAGUGCGCGAGGUACCCUAAGCAUCCACAGGGUUCUCCCCCUUUGAGCUCCUGUAUGGCCGUCGGCCCUGCGGGUUGCUGGACCUAGCCAAGGAGGUCUGGGAAGAGCAGCCGACCCCCGCUUCGCAGCGUAGUAGAACAUGUGGAGGAGAUGAGGGAGAAGACGACGGCGAUUUGGCCAGUGGUGAGAGAUCACAUGGCCCAGGCGCAACGUGCCUAGGAGCGUGUCUACAACCGGGGGGCCCAACCACGAGAGUUCCAACCCGUUGAGAAGGUCUUGGUGCUGAUCCCUACAACGGAGAGUAAAUUCCUGGCUACAUGGAAUAAGCCCUACGACAUUGUUGAGCGGGUAGGCAAUGUCAACUAUAAGGUCCGCCAACCGGGGAGGAGAAAACCCCUCCAGCUUUACAAUGUGAACUUACUGAAGAAUUGGCAUGCACACAAGGCGCUGUGCGUAACUUGGACCCUGCCACAGCAUGGCCCGCCCUCGGUCGAAGUUGCAAUGGGGCAAAAUCUCAGCCCAACCCAACGACAAGAGCUCAGAGAGUUAGUCCAGCGGAAUACGACCGUGUUCUCCGAGGUGCCGGGGUGCACGGAUCUCGUGGAACAUAGGCCAAAUAAAAGGAGCACGGUGGCACACCGCAGGAGAGAAGGGGGAGAGACCGACACCAAGCAAAACUAGAGAAGGACAGAGCGAAGCCUAAGUGAUUUUCUUUGUUAUAUUUAUUUUCUGUUUUAGUAAAGUUGUUUUUGCGGACUAAAGACUCCCUGUCUCUGUGUCAAUCUCUGCACGCUCAACCCAACACCCCACAGUUUACCACGAUAUUGUGGCAGACCAGGAGGUUUGGGCAAGACGUUUACACAGAUCAGACACGGACAGAGUAGGAUUUGCUCGGUUUCAAGGGUGUUUAUUUCAAUAACAGUCAAAAAGAAAAGGUCUCCCCAUGAGACCCUCUCUGGGAUACCGUCUUCUGGGCUCCGGGUCUUGCUGUAUCCAGUUGGGAUCAAAACUGCACUCACUCCUGUUAUCUCUGUAACCAUCCCCAACUAUACGGGAGUCCUUUCUUCCCCCACUCUCCCUGUGUGCUGCCCUUCUGGCAGCUUCAUGGGCCUUGCACAGCUGGUGAGCAAUCAGCCCUUGAUUACUCACCAACUCCCAAUUAGUCCUGGCCAGAGAACCCAUCGAGACCUAGCACGUCCAGCAGAUGGAACCAUGGCCUUGUGAUGUAUACACCGUCUGUCACCAGACCUCAACAAGUCUCCCCCUCUUGACUGACCUGCUGUACGCCACAAUAUAUAUAUAUAUAUUUAUGUGGAAUGUAGUAGAGUACUUUAAAAAAAUUGUUACGUAAUUUAUACGACUGGACUUGAAAAGAACACCUCAGUUGACUCGACUAACCGGUGCCCCUGCACAUUGACUCUGUACUGGUACCCGUGUAUAUAGCCUCGCUAUUGUUAUUUUUCUGCUGCUCUUUAAUUAUUUGUUACUUUUAUUUCUUAUUUUUUUCACUGAGCACAUAUUUUUCUUAAAACUGUUGGUUAAGGGCUUGUAAGUAAGCAUUUCACUGUAAGGUUGUAUUUGGCACAUGUGACAAAUACGAUUUGAUUCAUUACACUUUUAAUCAAUUUGAACCUUGUGUAACAUUGAAACUGUGCUGACACCUAGUGGACAUUAAGAGAAACUGCAACCCACACACACACAAUAACCUUAAAACAGAUGGACGCUUUACAUACAUUGCUUUUUUUAUUAGACACUACUAUAUAUGUCCAAUAAAGAGACAUUCAAAAGUUGGAAUGUAAAGCACAAACGACUGGAAAGUUUUUUAAAAGCAGCUGUAGUGAGUCAAGCAUCUUGAGGUUACCUGACAUAGGUCAAAGCAUAUAUUAAAUUGAACUCAACAACAUCUUCAACACAGACACAAGUUACCUGCUAUAUUUGGGCAACAGGAUUAACACUUAGCAAAAUACAAUCUAUGUUUCUGUAAUACAAGUAGGCUGGUGUAUACAGUAUCAUUGGUAACAAUUGUGUACAAGCCACCUAGAUAAUAAAAUAUUGGAGCUAGCAGUCAUUUGUUAAGUUACAUGUUAACCAUAGCGAUCGCCUAAUUGAGGCGCAGUAGAGUUCACCGGCGAAUCCCGACACACACCGGAAUAAAUAACUAAAACAACCAACGAGAAAUGAUGGAAGAUACCAGAAUGAAGACAGACAUUUUUCGGAAUAAACGUGGUCAGUGAAAAACUAAAUUACAUAGCACACUCCCUACCUGGUAUCUUAUUCUGCCGCUAUACAACUUUGUAUGCGUUGUUUGUUGGCAACCUUGUUAUUUACUAAAUUUUUGGAAAAGUUUCCUCUUGGAACGUUCCACAAAUUAUACCCACCCGUUUUGCUGAGCAGCUAGAAUACAGUACAAAAGAUUGUCAGAGUAUUUGGUUUGAAGUCGGAACAGAACAUCUUACAGGCGACCUACCACGAGUGCUUUUCAUUUUUUCCCCCUGAACCAUGCAGGUGGAAUUUGCAUAGAAUUCUGUUGUUGCGACUUUUUUUUAUAUGAAAACAUACACUCCUGAGUCUUCACCUGUCACACCCUGAUCUGUUUUACCUGUCUUGUGCUUGUCUCCAACUCCCCACCAGGUGUCUCCCAUUUGUCCCCAUUAUCACCUGUGUAUUUAUACCUGCGUUUUCUGUCAUCUUGUCCCAUCAAGUUCUACCAGCGUGUUUUCCCAUUUAUGACUUUCUAUGGUUGCUGUUUUCUAGUCCUCCCAGGUUCUGACCAUUCUGCCUGCCCUGACCCUGCCUUCGGUUCUGUACCUUUCUGACACUGCCCUGGAUUACUGACCUCUGCCUGCCCUUGACCUGUCGUUUGCCUGCCCCGUUUUGUAAAUCAAUAUCUGUGAUUCGAACUGUCUGCAUCUGGGUCUUAUCCUGAUAUCACCUGUACACUUACUGUAUAUUUAUUUUAUGUUUUUGUUUCCAUAGCAUUUGCUUUUAUGGUUAAUAUGCAUUUUGUUUUUUUAUAAGCUGUUUUAUCAGCUAAAGCUGACAUCUUUUGAGAAACUAUCCCAAUGGUAAUGCCAGUACAUAUGUUUUUGUCACUCCUGCUCCCGCUCCCCCUCUCUGACGCUCGAGGGCGCAAGGCUGCACACCUGUCACCAUCAUUAUGCGGAUCAGGGCUUCAUUGGACUUACCUGGACUCCCUCACUUUAUUGAAUAUCUCCCCUAUAUCUGUCUAUUCCUGAGUUUGAUCCCGUGUCAGCAUUAAUGUCAUUUUGUUUCCCCUGUCCAGACACUGUUCAUGUUUUGUUUCAUGUCUGUUAUUUAUUAAAUGUUCACUCCCUGUA